rnacentral:tRNA from 3 species
GGCUCAGUGGUCUAGUAGUAUGAUUCUCGCUUCGGGUGCGAGAGGUCCCGGGUUCAAUUCCCGGCUGAGCCC